rnacentral:tRNA from 1 species
GCCCCGGUGGCUCAGUCUGGUUAGAGCACAUGGCUGUUAACCAUGGGGUCGCAAGUUCAAAUCUUGCCCGGGGCG